rnacentral:ncRNA from 1 species
UAAUUGUUUGCUUUGCUCGGAAGAAGCAAGUUCGUUGUUGAUAUUCAUUUCUUACAAAUUAAUGAAGGAGAGAAAGAAAAUUAAAGCAUAAGUGUUAUCCUAUCAUAAAAGGUGAUUUUACUAGUUCCUCGCCGGAACAUUAAAUUAUUUCAUAACUACUACUUGUUAAUAAAAAGUUAACAAUGGGAAUGAAAUAAUAUUUUAUACCUUUUCUCUACCUUAUAAGAAAAAAAAAGGUAGAGAAAAGGAAAAUGGUGUUUAUAUAGCACAUAAACUAUCGUUAUUAAAUUUCUUUAUAUUAUUUAAUAGAAGUUUUUCAUAUAGAAGAUAAACUUAUAAAUUUUGUAAGUUAAAAAUAGAAUUUAAUUUUUGCCUGGCGAAGCCUGUGCCAGCCGCCGCGGUUAUACAGGCAGGUUGAGAUUGUUUUUUUGGAAAAGGAAAAAUUUUUUUGAUGAAAAGGUUUUCUUUAGGUGAAAUUUUGAAAAUGAUGAUUUUUAUUUGGCUUUUGAAAACUAUGAAUUAAACUAGGAUUAGAUACCCUAUUAUUAUUAAUAAUUAUAUUGGUAGUACACAAUAAUUGUGAAAUCAAAAGAUUUUGGCGGUAUUUUAAGCUUUUUAGAGGAAUUUGCUCUAUAAUUGAUAUGACACCUAGAUCUUACUUAAAUUGGUUAAGACAGUUUGUAUAUCGCUAUUUUUAUAACUAUAUUGAAUGAUAAUAGUUGGAAUGAAUUUUUUUCUGUAUUUUAGGUCAAGAUGCAAUAUAAAUUUAAGGUUGAAGUGAAUUAUGAUAAUUUUUAUUGGAUAGUAGAUGAAAAAAAAAUUAAGAUUUAAAAGUAAAAUAGUAUUAUAAUGACUGUUUGAAUAAAGCUCUAAAAUAUGUACAUAUCGCCCGUCACUCUCAUGUUUGAGAUAAGUCGUAACAAAGUAAGGGUACUGGAAAGUGUCCUU